rnacentral:rRNA from 1 species
AUUGAACGCUGGCGGUAUGCUUAACACAUGCAAGUCGAACGGUAACGGACCGCUGUGAUCCCUUCGGGGUGAACUUGGUGCCGACGAGUGGCGGACGGGUGAGUAAUACUUAGGAAUCUGCCCAGUAGUGGGGGACAACACGGGGAAACUCGUGCUAAUACCGCAUACGCCUUACGAGGGAAAUGGGGGGAUCUUCGGACCUCACGCUAUUGGAUGAGCCUAAGUCGGAUUAGCUUGUUGGUGAGGUAAAGGCUCACCAAGGCGACAAUCCGUAGCUGGUCUGAGAGGACGAUCAGCCACACUGGGACUGAGACACGGCCCAGACUCCUACGGGAGGCAGCAGUGGGGAAUAUUGGACAAUGGGGGCAACCCUGAUCCAGCAAUACCGCGUGUGUGAAGAAGGCCUGCGGGUUGUAAAGCACUUUCAGUAGAGAAGAAAAACCCAGAGGUUAAUACCCUCAGGGCUUGACGUAACCUACAGAAGAAGCACCGGCUAACUCCGUG